CUGAAAGGAGACUUUAGAGAAGAGCUGACAGAAGAGAUUCAUUCUAGGAUCUCUCCAUUCUCACCACACCAUGGACAAGGCCUAGUUCCAUAUGCAACAUUCAGUGUUGGAUGAUCUGGAUUCAGUACAGAAAGCCAAAUAUAAUUGCCUGGAAUUUUGAGCCUAAACAGGAUCUGAAGCAGAGGGAUGCUUGGUUUCUCAUUUGUCAAUAAUGGGCAAUAGUCCUGCCCACAUAUCAGGGAAUGUAUAUGCCAUAAUUAAAUACUAAUGCUUCUAUCUUCUCUAGAGAAUUUGUUCCUUUAUGUGGUCUGUAGUUGCACAUUAUAUCAUAAGUAAUCUGCAUUUUAUUGUUUUUGUGAUACUCUAGAAAUGGAUGUGUUUUAGUAAACCUA
rnacentral:lncRNA from 1 species